UGUGGUGGUUUGUCCGUAUCGCGUCGACACGUUAAAGGGGAAACCUUUAACAUAACAUAACCAUUUCAAGAGGAGAAUAAAUAGCCUUUAAUACUCAAACUGCCGCGGAUCUCUCAACGUUUCUUGCUAGAUCAGAUGUGUGAGAACAGGAGCUGGUCUACGUGUUCAGAUGCAGGUGUGCUGUUACUGUAUCUCCUGCCGUAGAAGACACUCUCUCUGCAGAGACACUGGUGCCAGGAACACACAAGUAUGUUUGGGCCAGCGUGGAAAUCAGAGGAGACCUCAUCUGACUCUUACUCCUCCAGCUGAGAGGGUCCUGGGAGAGAGGAGUGAUGGAGCACUACUGGUCACUUCUUCAGCUCUGGCAUGAGCAGACAUAGGCUGCUGCUGGACUCUAGCACCAGAUGAUACUCCAGCAGAGAAGAUGAUGACUUUCUUCUGUUAGAAGGGCUUUGCUGUUGCUCCUCCUCAGUGGAGUCUUCCAGUCUUCUUCUCUUCAACUCUCACCUCCUGCUGUAGGUAAACACAAUGAGAAGAACAGGGAAAAAAGGCAGGCCCUUGAAUCACAGACGCUGUGAACAGAGUGCUUCUCUCUUGCUCACUUGUAUCUAUUGCUGAGGUCUCCACUGGUGGUUUGCUUUGUCUCCGGGACCACUGAUGACUCUCCGGUGCUGUUCUACGUGUCCUGGAUGAAUUGAGCUUGCAAAGGAGCAAUCAAACAGAUGGUGGGACUGCUCUCAUCUGACAUGAGAGUAGUUGCAUCGUUCAUUGGCUUUAGGGCCUUGAUAAUAUCGUAUGUAUUUGAGAUGUCUGCUCUUCUGAGCGUGUAGAUGUCAGACUCUCCUCUCAUUACCUGAGGAGACUGUAAUGCAGCAGAGACUGCAAGCUGUUACUCCACAAACCUGUCAUCCAUCUCAUACACACUAUUCCACUGGUACACACAUCUGUUUUUAGCCUGUGUUUCGACAGACCAAGUAGAAUCUGCUUCUAUUCAAGCUGGUGUUUUGCAGGGGUACUGCGGUGAAAAUAGGUAGUAAUGCAUCUCACCCUACCUAGUAGCCUUGACAAAGUGGGCAACUUGAGCACUGAUAAGAGGCCAGAUUUAGCUUGUGGGCAGACCACUUCACAUGCAGGAAAUUACACUGUUCAGCAGAAACAACCAUGCUGUAUUCAUUAUCAGUGACUAAAACUAAAUCUCUUUGGUCACACAUAUUUUAGGGUCCAAUUCUGACUAUUAGCCAACCAUUAACUAUGACUUU